GAGAGUACUCUCAGCACAGCAGCAGCAGCAGCCGCAGCAGCAGAGAAACUGCCCCAGCACAGCUGCAGACCUGAGUCAACCUGAGCCCUUGUUCCCGCCCCCACUCUCAGCCUGGCUCCCAGAUUGGGUUGUUUCUAUCUGUCCUCGUUCUGAUUGGCUGUUUUCGUUCUGCUGGAAGCCAUGGGUCUUGGACCCCUUUACUGCUAAUCAGCGGUUUCAGCUGUCCAAGCCUCAACCCCAGCACUCGGCCCUUGCAGUGAACACUCCUGUUGAGUGCAGCAGAACAACUCCGUGUUCGGAGUCAAUGUAUUUGGGACGGCGGGGAAAAGAGCGGAUAAAAGACUUCAAGACGCCUGUGAAGACCUGCCGGUGAAGGAGGAGGGAGGGAGGUGCAGAGCGCUGUCCCCGCCUGGCCGCCUCGAGCGAUGGGAAGAUGAAACAGGCGGAUUCUUUACCACCUGAGCCACAAGGGAAGCAUGGAAGUAUCUAUAUACCCAUGUUAUUCAGAGCUAUGGAGAUAAAUACUGAAGAAAUCACCUACUAAUAACUGAAAGUAGUUACCUCAGAGGACCAGGAAAGCACGGUAAGCAAUGACAUUUUUGAUACAUGACUAUUUGAUUUUUUAAACUAUAUAAAGCUUUGGUUUAAAAAAAAACUGUAAAAUUUUAAAAUGGAACAAGUUGAAUGAAGAUUGUGCUGCUUCUCUGAGGCGCACAGGUGAUGUCCAGGGAUGAGGUCAAUUCCAUCCUGGACUUUAUAAUGUUGGAGCUAAACUGAACACCAAACCUCCAACCCUGGUGCCGCGGGAAGCUUCUUCAGUUGAGCUGUGUCCUCCAAAGCCAUGCUGGGUGUCUCCUCAGAAAAGCAGGUAUGUGGUCAGAGGCUCUGUUACCUCUGUCUUCACCCUUUCCAACCUCCCACCUGUUUCUAGUGACUUUCAGGCUUGUAGACUCUGUGUAGGUUUAAACUUUUCUAUUUGUGGCUCAUCUGCUGCCCCAGCAUCCAAAGGCCAAGCCCAGUUCCGCUUCUCCCCUGAAUGCUGUGUGUCAGUGAGCAGCUCUGCCAGCUCGCAGUCAGCCAAGCCCAAGCCCUGAGAGGCGCCAUCACUGUGUCCACUGGGAGCAGACCUCCUCACCACCUUCCCCAUGGGCACGACUCUCGUUCAGAUUCUCAUGGCUCCUUACCUUGAUCACGCGACGCCGACUUCAUUGUUCUUAGGCCUCUCAUUCCCCAUCACACCCUCCACAGGGCUCUUCACUUCUGUCCGGGCCUCUGUCCUGCCCCUACCUUCCAGGAGGUUCUCACUCCCUGGCUUAGCGCACAGGAGGUCGUGAUGCUGCUCUGGCCGCCUCUCCCAUCACCGCCCACUCCCAGCUUUCCCUCCACCUGCUGGACCCACCUGCAGCUCCCAGCCAGCACCUGAGCACAUCAUGCCUAGUGUCCUGUCUCACUGCAGGACAAGCAUCACCUCCUCCAGGAAGCCUUCCUUAGAGCCCAAGUGUGAUUCAGGGGCUCCCCUCACUUCCUGCCUGUCCACCUUUCUGGUAGCUCCUGUCUCACUGUAGCAUGAGUGUUUAUUUGCUUAAGUCCUCCAUUCACUGUGGUUUCUUCAAGGUUAUGAAUCAUUUCUUUCUUAUUAAACCUCCGACCUCUCAGCUUGCUGACUGGCCCCAGAAGGGACAGGAAAGUGUGACUGAAGAGAGGCAAUUCCUGAUGUAGCCCCCUCCAGAAGUGUCAACAUGAAAGCAUAUCCGGCUGUUAGCCAGCCCAACGUUGCUCUGGAUUAGGUUAUCAUGUUCCCAUUAGGGCUUGCAAUUGUCAUUAUCUUUUAUUUUUUGUCUGGCUAUUGAUUGUGAAAAUUGAUAAACAUCUUUCACUAUUGUGAUUAUGAAAGGGUAACAGGUAGGAAGGCUAGGGGUCCCCAAGAGGCAGGAGGAAAUAAACUGCAGGUGGCAGAUGUUUUUUGUUUUUUGUUUUCUUUUCUAAUCCUGUCUUGUCAUGACGACACUUUGUUCUGCCUGAACGUAACUUUUCUCAAACCUUAAGCUAACCAAUGCGUUUUUCUUAUGGAAAUCUUUUUAAGCUAUGUUAAUGAAACUAUGUAUUUGACUUGGAAUCUGCCUUUCUUCAAAUCGGUUCUGCCUAAGACUAAGCUUUUUCUCAAACCUUGAACUGAUAAUGGCUCAACAAACCAGUACAUCUUACUCAUGGAAAUGUUUUCGUAAGCUAUGCUAAUGAAACUGCGUAUUUGCUUGGAAAUCCGCCUUUUUUCAAGAUUCAUGUCAACUGUGUCAUGGCUCGGGAUGACUCACCUUGUGCCAAUGCUAUCAAAAACGCAGGUGGUAGGAGAGGGGCCUGGGGCAGCUCGCUCAGUGUCGAUGUGCUUCUUUUAUCUGAUUAGCAACUUGCUAACAGAUGUAUAACUUCUUGCUAAACACCAGCAAGGGGGCACUCUUUCUGUCCCCUUCUGAUGUUUGUGUCAGAAGCUUUCUUUAUCCCUUUUAUACUUGAAGAAAACUGUUAGGGAAAACACAUUCACUGAAACCGCCCACCCUGGCCAGGCUCUCUAGUAACCAUUUGCAUGAGUUGUUUUAGGACAGGAGGUCCUGAUAAGGAAUACGGAACUAAUAAGCCACCACCAACCGGAAGCGUUUGGGAAAGGUCAAAAGGGGACACCGCGUGUCCGCCCACUUCCCAGAAUCUCUCUCGCUGGCAUCCAUAUUGGCUGAGCGGUGCGUGCACCACCAGGAAGGACUCUGAGUCACAAUGAUUGGCCAAAGACCACCCGGACACUCAUCUCAUCCUAUAAAACCCGAGACUGCGAGCCACGCGGCAGAGCAGUUCUCCUGGGUUCCCUUACCCUACUGCUCUCCGCCCAGGUGCUCCUUUCCCAAUAAAAUCUCUUGCUUUGUCAGCACAUGUCUCCUCAGACUAUUCUUUUCUGAGUGUUAGACAAGAGACCUCUCUCGGGGCCCUGGAGGGGGCCCCCCCUUCCUACAACAAAACUUUUUGCUACACAAAAUGCCCCUGGAUCAAAAUCCUCUCUGCUGGAGGUCAUGAAUUCCAGCAUAGCACAUGGCUUGCA